UUAGGCUAGUAAUCAAAGGUAUAUAUGGACAUGCUUGUGCAGGGUGCUCAUUUUGGGCAACAUGAAGUAUAAUAACAUUUACACUGUUUAUCGAGUGAGCAUGCGGGAGACUUAAAUUAUCUUACCACCUAUUCUCACAAUGGGCAAACAACAUGAACAAUUAAUCAUUUAUUUUAGACCAAAGUGUUUCAUAGUGUUCAAAACAAUAUGUAAACCAGUCUUAAAAUUAUCAACGAUAACAUACUGAUCUUCUUUAUUUUCGGUAGUGCACAGUUACUUCCCUUUAACCAAAUACGCCAUUUGCACCGAGCCCACGAAUGAACAUUUGUUGGGUAUAGACUGAGGAGCCUGAAAUUCUAUCUAUAAUGCUCCAAAAUUAUAGGAGGGGUCAUUUUUAUAUUUAGCCAUUUUGGAGCAUUAUAGAUAGAAUUUCAGGCUCCUGUGGUAUAGAGAACAAUAGGUAACGGUAAAUUCUAUUCAUUCCGAAGUGGUUUAAUGGGUUCUUUUUGUAGCAUAUUGGGUACUUUUUAACAAAAGAAAUACCCAAUAAAGGUCCAUCUGUAGGAACGUCCGGUCGUCCUAGAAGAAAAGAACAUUGGGCUCUGUGCAGAUGUUUUUGUACCAGUAUGCAGGUAUUUGCACGUUUCGGGCGUGAUAACUUAUUUACAGGUCGCUGUACUUCAUCAUGUCACAUGCCAGAGGGUAAAAAUAGAGUAAAUUAGAGAAUCAUAUCAUGAUAGUCUGUUUGACGUACCAGGAUAUAAAUUAGAACAAAAUGACAGAGACAUUCAUGGUGGAGGGUUAGCCGUGUUCAUACCAGCAGAUAUUGCAUCUAGAAGACGGAAGAAUCUAGAAAACAUUGUAAUUGAGGUACCACAUGUUAAAACAACUAGAUUUGUUUGAUAUAGUGGAUGGAUCAUCAGGGGAGGUAGCUAGAGUUGCAGAUUGGGACUAGGGCGUAACUUGCCAACAACAAAAAAAAGAGAAAAUUUUAGGUAUCUGGAAAUUAAUGCUUUGUAUCUUAAGUCAUUAGAAAGCUUUGAAACUUGAUUACUCACAGACUAAUUAUGUUGUGGAAACACAUGAGAAUUAGUUGUUUUUACUAAUUUUUACACUGAAAAUUGAAUAGUGCUUGUAACUCUUCACUCAGUGUAUAAUUAUUGUCUUAAUUAUAAAUAUCAAUAUUUAACGGCCGUUAAAUGCAUAUUCCUCCAUGGUGUAUACCGGUAAAGACUUAGUGAAAGUUAUUAUUGCCAUGGCAGCCCGGGUUCGAUUCCUGACUCUGGCAUUUUUCUUUCUUGAUUUGGCAUUUAUUAAAAAUCUCAUGUCAUUGCCUUCAUAAUGUGACCAAACUUUACUUUUAAAGAAAGGUCAUUUUCAGCGAAAAUCUGGCGGUCAAUGCUUUUAGCUGUCAUAAGUAUGAAUUCACCCAUGGUGAUACUUAACAAGAAGGUAGGAAAGUAAUUGCUGAGGCAGUCCAGGUUCGAUUCCUUACUCAGACAUAUUUUCUCUUGAUUUUGCAUUUUUAAGAUAGUUUAGAAACAAAAACUCAUGUCAUUGUGUUCAUAAUGUGACCAAACUUCAGUUUUAAAGAUUUCACUUUUACUUUUAGUCAUUUUCUUUUAAAAAGAUAAAGCAAAUUUUACAAUUGAAGGGAGAUAACUCAAUUUUUAAAAAAGACACUAAAAGCUCUGCUUCAUUCUAUUGUGUUAUAUGUGUAUCUUAUAUGGUAUUUUAUAUUAUGUAUCUUUCUAAACAUUUUGAAAAAUGUCUCUUUUUGUAGUGUGAUGUAAAAGUAAAGCAGAAUGACAAGAGACCAGUAACUUCAGAAUUGAAGAGAUGCAGGUCUUUGUUCUACAUGGUGAAAGAGGGAAUUAUAGUGGAUUUUUGGAUUUAUCAGUGAAUCCUGUGAAGUGAUAGUGAAGCAGAAUAUUUACAGAUCAUAAGAGAUGCUGGUCUUUGUUCAACAUGGUGAAUAUGGAAAACAUAGUGGAUGGCCAUCCUAGAAAACAUUUAAUGAGGAAAUAUAUGAGGCAGAGCUAUCAGCAGUAUGCCACAGACACAGCAAGUACACAUUGUUUUGCACAAAUUUUUGUUCCACAUGUAUGGCCAUGAAGGGAUUUUCACAGAAAAAAAUAGCCAUACAAACACCUUCCACGGGAUUUGAACCAUCAACCUGAUAGAAAGUUUUACCUGUUGUGUAAACAGGAUGAGCUGGCUUGGUGAAAGAUUGUCAUGCAGGAAAAGAAGGAAAAUGACCUCAGGAAAGGCAAGAUACAGCAGGUACAAGAUCCUAAGGACAGGAAUGUCUGUCAUUCAUGGUAAAAUCAGAGUUGGGCAGCUUAUUGAAACAGGUUACUGUUGCCCAACUAGACAAAUUUCAAGUACACCAAAUUGUUAUGAAUGUUGCUGUGGUUACAAAGUUCUGGCAGCAGCAAGCACAUACACGACAUUUCCGUCAGGCACAUACAAGGACAAGACCGUUUAAAGCUCGACACAUAUAGGAUAGUUAGCUGGAAAUCCUGCAAGGGUCCACCUCUGCCAUGGUCGUUUCAAAGCUGCCUUAUGGCCUUUACUGUUGGACAAAUUACAUUCCUCUGACUGAGUGGAGGAGAAGAGAUCAUAAAAUGACACCACUUGAGAUGCAGGUGAUCAUAGAUUGACCAUAAAAACGGGAGUGCACAGUCAGACAAAACAGCACCAGUUGCUUAGGUCCAAGUUUCCCAGAAAUGGAUAAUUCUAAGGCCCAUUUAAACCAGAGAUUACAUUUAUUGGUGAUAAUUGAUGAAGCCAGUUGCAGAGUUUUUACAUGAGAUAGUUAGGGAAAGUGAGUUUACAUUUUGCUGGAACCUCGUUACAGGUCCAUGUAUAUACUCUGGUCACAGAUUUGCAGUAUCAGACAGUAUCCUAGGAAACCCAUUCUAAAUAUAGGACCAACACAAUCAGACAGACAAGUUGGCAUGAUAUUUACUUAAAAGAGUGGUGACAUUCUGCCCAAGAUUCAAGUCUGGAGAUACCAUUGGCGAAUCUUAUAAUCUUUUUUUAGAUUUAAGUUUAAAAAUGACACUGACUUAAGACUAGAUAUAUACUGGUUUCAGUCAAAGGCUUUUCUCUAUUUUUGUUUUUGUCAACAUAUUAAGAUCUGGAAACUGUCUAUAUUGGAGACAAGUUUGUAUGACAAAAUAAAAGAAAGAAAAAGGUUUUUAUAUUAGAAAGAUUUUUUAAAUAAAUUCUUAUGAAGUGA